rnacentral:rRNA from 1 species
AGUGUAGGCGGCUAUUUAAGUCGGAUGUGAAAGCCCCGGGCUCAACCUGGGAAUUGCAUUCGAAACUGAAUAGCUAGAGUUUGGUAGAGGUAAGUGGAAUUCCGGGUGUAGCGGUGAAAUGCGUAGAUAUCCGGAGGAACAUCAGUGGCGAAGGCGGCUUACUGGAUCAAAACUGACGCUGAGGCUCGAAAGCGUGGGGAGCAAACAGGAUUAGAUACCCUGGUAGUCC